UUCAAGAUUCUAAGCUUCAAUGGCUAAGUUAUAGUUUUGAUCCCCCUAUUUUGUCUGAUUCACGAAAUUAGUCCCUCUAUUUUAAAUUCAAACAGUUUUGGUCCCUCUAUUUUGUCUCUGCCUUUUCCUCUCUUCUUCCUCCAGCAUAAUUUCAAUUGUUCUUCCACCCACAGUUAUUUAAAGUUGGGGUUUUUAUAAAGCUUCAAGAUUUCAAGUUUCAGUUAUUUAUUUUAGAGUUUAUUUGCAUGCUUCAUAGAGAAAUAAGGAAAAGGCAAGUUUUGGUCGAAGACGUUCGACGGUGUAGUAUGCUCUCGACCGAAGAAGCCCUAUGGAAACACUUAAUAAAAUAAAAAGGUUGUGAGUUUGUGAAGGAGUCGAAGUCGAAGGCCCGAGGCUUAAGAAGAAAGACGGUUGUUGGCAGUUUUGUCGUCUGGAAUACGUGGAGUUUCCUCAAGAAAAGGGACUGCAUGGUUGGGACACGUGGCGACAUAUGAAUAGUCGACCGUUAGGGCAGUUUAUUUUAGGAUUUCUAUUUAAGCAAAUAAAUGUCAGUAGUUUAGGGGUCCGCAUUUCUACAUCACAAAAGACAAUACUCAAUCUCUUCACACACAAUGAGAAACGAGUGUAAUUUUCUGAGAAUGUAUGUAUGCGUACCAGAUUAAUU